AGGAGAGGAAGUGUGUGCAAGGAACUGGGAGCAAGAGGUGUGCAAGAAGCUGAGAAUGGAUGCUGGGGACUGAAAAUCAGGCCUAUGAUUCCUAAACAUAUAUAUCUGCUGUAUCAAAGCCUGAUCCAAGUCUUCAAGACUCAAAGUCAGAAGAUAGGCAGUAGACUGGCUUUAAAAGGAGUUGGCUCAGCCAUUAAAAAUAUAUAAAGUGUAGACUCGCUCUUGUUUUGCUGACCAGUGCUGUCAUGUCUCAUUUGUGAAUUGUAUUGGGAAUCAUUAACUGCCUGAAAUAAACUCUGCUGAU